rnacentral:lncRNA from 1 species
UGCCGAUAGUUGAGGUCAAUGCAAUUUACCCUUAUUAUUCACUAUGCUGCAGAUUUGGUUUUGGUGUCCGAUUGACUAUUGUGAUACCUUUCCGGAAGCGUAACGGCCCUACGAGUCAAACUCAUCGCUAAUGCCAUGAUGUAAGGGCCUUUUUGGCCAUCCGAGUCCGUUUAGGGCUUCAAAAUGCAGUUUUCUUAUUUCCGAUUAAUUGACCGUUUCGAUCGAGCCCUUAACGUUGUCGAAUCCAAUUGAAUUUUUUACCAUAGACAUCUUUCGUCAUAAUGAUCAUAUCGACGGUCGAAUUUUGGUUUAUAAAUUUUAGUCAUCGGAAUCACGUGUCUACUAUUUACCGUUAUUAUUCCCUAUGGGGAGCCCUAUCGUCGGAAGGUAAAUGUCUCAAAAUUUUUAUAUGGGCAGUUGCGCCUCAUCUACGUGAGAGUUUUUAGUGUGGAAGGUUUGACCAAACCACGUAAUAUAGAGGGAGAUAUGAGUGUUUUCGUGUGAUAAGUGACGAUGGAUUAGGGUUAACCGUUUCGAUCGAGUCCUUAACGUUGUUGGAUCCAGUUAAAUUUUUUACCAUAGACAUCUUUCGUCAUAAUGAUCAUAUCUGACGGUCGAAUUUUGGUUUGUGAAUUUUAGUCAUCGGAAUCACAACGUGUCUACUAAUGUUGUAUAACUUGUUUAGUUGGUUAUACGACUUUGUGAACCAACUCUAUAUAGAAAGCAAAAUUAUCAAAAAUCUCGUGAAAUAAGAUGUGUUCAGAAUGGUGAAAUACGGCUAUGGUUCAAAAAUCACGUAAAUCAGGUAAAGUCUUGGUGCCGAUAGUAGCGGUCAACCCUAUUUACCGUUAUUAUUCCCAAUGGGGAGCCCUAUCGUCGGAAGGCAAAUGUCUCAAAAUUUUUAUAUAGGCGGUUGCGUCUCAUCUACGUGAAAGUUUUUCGUGUGGAAGGUUUGACCAAACUACGUAAUAUAGAGGGAGAUAUGAGCGUUUUCGUGAAUUUAUAAACUUGAGUCUAUCUCUAACGACCUUAAUCUUCUUAUUCGUAACAUGGAUUAACUCUGGGCCGCAAAGCUCUUUUUCCCCUACUUCAUUCCAACACAAAGGCGUGCGACACUGCCUCCCAUAAAGAGCCUCAAAGGGAGCCAUACCAAUGCUAGAAUGAUAGCUAUUAUUAUAAGCAAAUUCCAUCAACGAUAAGUUUUUAUCCCAACUCCCUCUGAACUGCAAGGCACAAGCCCUCAACAUAUCCUCCAAAGUCUGAAUAGUCCUCUCGGACUGCCCAUCAGUCUGAGGAUGAAAAGCAGUGCUGAAGAGUAAUUGGGUACCUAAAGCUGCCUGAAAAGCUCCCCAGAAUUUAGAAGCAAAUCGAGGAUCCCGAUCUGACACUAUUGAUUCAGGAACACCAUGAAGCCUCACAAUUUCAUUCACAUAAAACUCCGCCAAUUUAUCCAAUUUAUACUUCUUUCCCACUGGCAAGAAAUGUGCAGACUUGGUGAGUCGAUCCACAAUCACCCAAAUACCGUCAUGCCCUUCACGGAUACGAGGUAAACUAAAAACAAAAUCCAUGGUGAUGUGGUCCCACUUCCACACUGGAAUAAGCAACGGCUCAAGCAAUCCAGAAGGCUUCUGCCUUUCAGCUUUUACUUGCUGACAAACCAGACAUCUACUCACAUAAGCUGCAAUUUCCCUCUUCAUGUUUGGCCACCAAUAAUAAUCCUUCAAAAUCCGAUACAUUUUUAUGCUACCCGGAUGAGCAGCAUAUGCAGAGCUAUGAGCUUCCUCCAUAAUCUCACUCUUCAACUCUUCAUUUCUUUUUGGAACACAUAGCCGAAUCUUAAACAAUAGAGUCCCAUCUCUUCUAACUGAAAAAUGAUCGGCUGCGGCUCCAU